rnacentral:lncRNA from 1 species
AGAAUACUAACAAUGCUCUAAUUAGACCAUAAUAAUGCUAAGCAAGCUUAAUCAAAUUCAAAAAAAAUCUCAAAGAAAUUUCAAACAAAUAAUAAGAAUUCUUAAAUAAAUAUAAGAAGGAUUGCAAAUAUCACUCAAAUACAUCUCAAUUCAAUCUUAAUUUAAUUCUAGUUAAAAUCCUAUUGAAAUUCAUUAAAACUUUAAGCCAAAACUAAUUAAAUCUUAAAUCCUAAUAAAAUCCUAAAUCCUAAAUCAAACCCUAAAUAAACCUUAAAUCAAACCCCAACCAAAUCCUAAACCAAAUCCUAACCAAAUCCUAAACCAAACUCUAAACCGUAAAUCAAAUCCUAAUCAAAUCCUAAUCCAAAUCCUAAACCCUAAAUCAAACCCUAAUCCAAAUCCCAAAUAAAACCCUAACCAAAUCCUAAAUCAAACCCUAAAUCAAAUCUUAAACCAAACCCCAAUCAAAUCCUAAACCAAACCCUAAUCAAAUCCUAAACCAAAUCCUAAAUCAAAUCUUAAAUCAAAUCCCAAUCAAAUCCUAAACCAAAUCCUAAC